UUAACGGAAUGCUUUUACAAUGCCAGGGACUGUGACCCGCCUUCAAUUCCACUGCUGUCUAUAAGGAGUUUGUACAUUCUCCCUGUGACCGCGUGGGUUUCCUCCGAAUGCACCAGCAACCUUCCGCAUUCCGAAGCUCGUUUCAGAGCAAGAGACACUUAUAUAAGACGAAGUAUGGAGCAGUGUACCCUGUGGAGCAUCCUGAGGGGAUUUGGAGAGUGUGAUCGAACAGAAGCUUGACGCCAAGACAAACAACACACAAAAUUCUGGAGGAACUCAGCAGAUCUAGUUUUUACUCCAACCCUCCACUUUCCUGGGAUCAAGCGCUCCAAUUCCUCUAUUUCCUAAGAAAGCUAGGGAAAUUUGGAACGUCGCCGUUAACCCUCAUAAAUUUUUAUUGAAAGCAUCCAUAUCCAGAUUCAUCACAGCCUGGUACGGCAGACUGCUUUGCCUGAGACCGCAAGUAACUGCAGAGUUGUGGACCCCACCCAGUAUGCCACAGAAACCAGCCUCUACCCCAUGGACUCCCUCUACGCUUCUGGCUACCUCAUUAAAGCAUCCAAAGUAAUCAAAGACUUAUCCCGCCCCCAGUCAUUUGUUCUCCCUCGUUCCAUCAGGCAGAUACUUGAAAUCACUGGGCUCAAGGACAGUUUCUACCUCACUGAUUAGGAUAUGUAAAUGGACCUCUUGUGCAAUAAAGAUGAAAUCUUGAUCUGUAACUUUACCUCGUUGUGACCCUUGCACCUUAUUAUCUACCUGCAUUGUACUUUCUCUGUAACUGUAGAACUAUAUUCCACAUUCUGCUAUUGUUUUUGCAUUUGUACUGCUUCAGAGUAUUCAUGUUGAAGAGAUCUGUGUGGAUAAUGUGCAAAGCGAAGGUUCUCACUGGAACACAGUGCAUGUGAUAGGAAACCACUUCCUGUCCAAUGGAUAAAAUGAGUUUGGGAAGGAGAGACAGCAGAGAAAAUGUGACAGAAUUAGUAAAGAGAAAUGAAGAAGCUUAUUUUUCUAUGAAGUGGAAUCCUUGAACCCUUCGUAGUUGUCAUUAGAAACGGUAAGGAGGCAACAGGAGAACCUCCCCUGCAAAUCUGCUGGGGCUGGUUGUCUGUUGUGUCCGGUGCUCCUGCUAUAUUGGUGAGGUCCGUGACAAAUUGGGGGACGGCUUCGUCGAGCACCUCCGCUCCAAACUUGCUGGUGAUCAAACAUUUUAAUUCUGAUUCCAGUUUCCAUUCCGACAUGUUGGUCCAUGGCCUCCUCUUGUGCCAAGAUGAGGUCACCCUCAGGGUGGAAGAGCAACAGCUUACAUUCCAUCUGGGUAGCCUCCAACUUGAGGGCCUGAAUAUUGAUUUCUCCUUCCGGUUAUAAAACAUUCCCUCCCCACUCCCCUCUUCUUCUAUUCCCUACACUGGCCUCUUGCCUUUGCUCACCUGCCCUUCACUUCCCCCUGGGUUCCCUCCUCCUUCCCUUUCUCCUAUGUCCACUCUCCUCUCCUAUCAGAUUCCUUCCUCUCCGGCCCUUGACCUUUCCCAUCCACCUGGCUUCACCUAUCACCGUCCAGCUACCCUCCUUCCCCUCCCCCCACCUUUUUAUUCUGGGGUCUUCCCCCUUCCUGAAGAAGAGUUUUGGUC